rnacentral:misc_RNA from 1 species
GGUCGGCAUGCUAUCCUGUCCCUUGUGUUGUGAGGUGGGAUGGUGCCUCAGAGGCUGGUUCUUGUGUUGCCUACCCCUCAAGGGAAGAGGCCACUUGAAAGUUAGCCUCCAUCCGGCGCCUUCCAAUGGGCGCAGGAGGACAACGAAGCACCCCUCGUGUUCCACCGAGCCUUCAUCGGUCGCGUGGCCCACGGGGAAGUGCAAUGCUCUCGGACCCAGCGCACGCUGUGGGCGUGGACUCGUUCCUCGUCCUAAGGGAAAGCUUCGGCAUGAACAUAACACGGCCGCUCUCGCCCCUUGACCGCCUCAGAUG